UUGCUUUAUUAGCACAUAUGCUAAAAUUAGAACGAUACAGAGAAAAUUACCAUGACCCUUGAAUGAGGAUAAAAAAUGCAGAUUUGUGAAGCAUUCCAUAUUUUU